UGUAGAUAUGACAGAUAUCCUAACCUAACCUAACCUCGCAUUCGUCACCGUCACUGAUUCAACAUCAUAUUUUGUAUUUUUAGUAUCAUGCAUCUGAAAGUUUACAGAAUAUUGCUUCUUCUUUUAUGAUAUAACGAUGGAUAAAUAAUUUUUACUGAAAUACGCGAGUAAUUUAACAAUUUGAGACAAUGGAAUCUUUGCUAGAAAUAAUGCAUGCUGUGCAACACACAUACAAAUACUGGGAUAAUUUGCAUUUUAUUUUCUUAUUGUGUGUAAAACCUAAACAAAUCCUGAAUUAUUAGGAUGAUAAUUAUACGGCAGAAAACAGUGAUAAGAAUUUGCAAAUCACAGAUGUAAGAUGCACUGUGUGUCAAGAGGAAAUCCAUUAAAAAGCACGAGAAUCUUUUAAGCGAGAGCUAAUAUUGAAGUCUCCGCUAAUAGAAUCUUGUGUUAUGUAAUGGAGUGAUCAAUGCCCAUUCAUUCAUCUGCAGAGAUUCUUGAAGUAUUAAUAAUGAAGUAUUAAUAAAAAUUGUUGACAAUUAGAAGAUUUGAAGACAACUUGCACUGCUAUUCAGUGAAUAUGUCAGGAAAGAUAGUGCUUAACAUGUCAUACUUAAACUCAGCAUACCGUAUGAUAUGUAUUACAUGUAUCUU